GAAUUUUCCUUUUUCCUAGUUUUUGAUUGAGGAUACUUAAUUCAUAUUCUGACUGUUUCCAGUUUGAUUGAUCGGAGAAAUCAAUGGCGUAAAGAGGCAGAGGAACAUCAGAAGAACAUUCCUGAUCCGAGCAUGCCUCCUGGACAUACUAGGAUGCCAGAAAAUGAACGUCUGGAAACACUUAGUUCCCUGCAACAAACCCAACAACAGCUGACCAAGCAACUGCUGUUGUUCCCUGUAAGAGUGGAUACCAUUGGCAUGCGGAAUCGACGUACUGACCUUGAAAAGAAGUUGGCUGAAAUUGAAGAAGCUAUUAAAAUUUUCUCACGGCCAAAAGUUUUCAUCAAAACCAAUGACUGAGCAACUCGGUGAGGCUUCUGGCUGAAAGCUACUCGAUGCCAGGCACUGAUCUGAUCCUGUUGGGAACAAGGUGUACAUUCAUUCGUGGGUCUGUUGCUAACUUCUUCAGGCAUGUAAAUAAGUUAACUGUCAGAUUUUAAUCAAUAUAAUUGAAUAUUAAUUCUGUAAUAGCAAUACUUUUUCAUUAAAUUUAUUAACAUUUGAAAAAAAA